rnacentral:lncRNA from 1 species
UUUUUUGAAAAUAUUGCAAGUCUUUUUCUUAUUAAAUACAACUAGACCUUUCUCUAGGUCCACUAUUCCGUGACACCCUUGUCGUGGUCGCAUGUCUUGCCAACGAUAGUAGUCUCUGAAAAACGACAAAGAAUAAAAGGAUGAGAACUUUAGUUAGUUCCCAGUGGAUGCAAUUGUCGAAAGUAGCACUCUACAUUUACUUGGUCCAAAGAAGGCAUUAAUAGAUAAAUAGUGAUAACGAUAAAUAUUUCUACAAUAGAAAUGCAACAAUAGAACUACAACUAUAAUGCCUCAAUUAUACAAGAUGUCACUAUAUCAUUGGUUAUAAGUUUACGUAAUUACUUCAUAUCUCAAUCGCCUUAUACCUCUCAAAUAUACAUUUCUUCAAACCAAAUUGGUAGUUUAGUUUCACUUUUUAUUAUACCUUAUGGAGGGUCAAUUGCUAUCGGACUUCGCUCCAACCGGUAGGUAAAUAUGGUUGAUUGCUCUUGGACUCCCCCAAGUACCUCAUAGAGAAUCAAAUUCUCUAGCAUUCCUUUCUUUUGCUUUGACAUUUCUAGAAUGUCGCACAUAUUUUACCAUUAUACUCUAAGUUCAUGAUUUUUAGGGUUAUCCACCAUGUUCAAUAUAUACAAUAUAAUCUCUAGUUCACAUUUAACCUAGAGUUCACAUGUCAUUAUAUUUUCACCUUUAAGUUUUGAUCUAAGUUUAAAUCACACUUGUGUAACCAAUAUCCAAGAUUCUUAAUAUAUAUACAUGCACAUUAAUUCAAUAUUAUCUAUCUUACAUACUAAUAACUCAAGAAAAUAAUGGACAAAGAAAAGAUCAAACUAUUUUUGAUGCUACUCCCCUCCUUUGCUUUAAACCCCUGUUGGAGAUGAGUGUCAAUCUCCAAGAAUCCUAAGAAAAACCUAAAAUUGAGUUCUAACCAAGUUAAAACUAUGAAUUCUCUUAUUUGGGGCAAAACAUCAAAAAUAAAAAUUUAAAAAUACAUCAACUCACCUCUCCUUCUUCUAGCAAGAGAAAUAUUAGUGGAAAGGAUUGUCUUCUUCCUCCUAAAGCUUUCUCCUAGCACCUUUUGUCUCUUCCAAACCUCCAAAGAAAUGGAUCUAAGAGAUCCCUUCAAUGAGAAACUAGGAUUUCCUCUUCAUCUAGAGAGAGAAAAAGAAGAAAG